UACAGAGACUGCAAGCGUUAUUCGGAUUCACUGGGCGUAAAGGGUGCGCAGGCGGCCAAGUGUGUUAGGCGUGAAAGCCCGGGGCUUAACCCCGGAAUUGCACCUAAAACUACAUGGCUAGAGCAUUGGAGAGGGUAGCGGAAUUCACGGUGUAGCAGUGAAAUGCGUAGAUAUCUGGAGGAACACCGGUGGCGAAGGCGACAUCCUGGACCGGUAUUGACGCUGAGGCGCGAAAGCCAGGGGAGCAAACGGG
rnacentral:rRNA from 1 species